rnacentral:rRNA from 1 species
UGAGGAAUUUUGGUCAAUGGGCGAGAGCCUGAACCAGCCAAGUCGCGUGCAGGAGGACGGCCCUAUGGGUUGUAAACUGCUUUUAUAGGGGAAUAAAGUGAGGGACGUGUCCCUUAUUGCAUGUACCAUACGAAUAAGGACCGGCUAAUUCCGUGCCAGCAGCCGCGGUAAUACGGAAGGUCCAGGCGUUAUCCGGAUUUAUUGGGUGUAAAGGGAGCGUAGGCUGUUUGUUAAGCGUGUUGUGAAAUGUAGGGGCUCAACUUUUAGAUUGCAGCGCGAACUGGCAGACUUGAGUGCGCACAACGUAGGCGGAAUUCAUGGUGUAGCGGUGAAAUGCGUAGAUAUCAUGACGAACUCCGAUUGCGAAGGCAGCUUACGGGGGCGCGACUGACGCUAAAGGUGGAAAGUGCGGGUAUCGAACAGG